UCUCAAGAGACUUAAAGAAUCGGUUACAUUUUGGCCAAAGGAAUUAGAAUAUAUUAAUUAGUUAGGUAAAUGAAGGGCGAUUCGAUGAAUAGGCAUAUUAAAGGUAUAUUGGGGGCAUUUUUGUUUAAUUAAAGCGAAAAUUACAGGCCUUUAGAAAGAGUAACGAUAUAAUAUAUAUAUAAAAAUUGAGAGAAGGGUAAAGUGGUCUUCUUAUCUUGAAUCAGCAACAACUAAUUG
rnacentral:misc_RNA from 1 species